UACGUAGGGGGCAAGCGUUGUCCGGAAUCAUUGGGCGUAAAGCGCGUGUAGGCGGUUCGAUAAGUCUGCUGUGAAAGUCCAGGGCUCAACCCUGGGAUGCCGGUGGAUACUGUCGGACUAGAGUACGGAAGAGGCGAGUGGAAUUCCCGGUGUAGCGGUGAAAUGCGCAGAUAUCAGGAGGAACACCAAUGGCGAAGGCAGCACUCUGGGACGUGACUGACGCUGAGACGCGAAAGCGUGGGGAGCAAACAGG
rnacentral:rRNA from 1 species